AUCGCGGGUUCGUAGAAGAACCCUUUUGACUUGUAAUUGAGAUUGGUUGAUAGUGGUUUGCUAAUAAGGGCUUGAUGGUGACUAGCUUAUAUUGGGGUGAGAGCGUUGACUUCACCUAGAUGUAGAUUUAUUAAAGUUAAGACUUCCGCUGCAAUAGAUUAAAUUAUGGUUUGUUAUAGGAGUGUAUUAAUUAAUUACAUUUUCUUUUAGUUGUAAUAAUUAAUAAUUAAUUUAUGUAUUAGUAGUAGUACCUUUCGCCUUGCUGUUAUUAAGUGUUUAAUAACCACGGCAUAACAACUCUUGAAUUGUCCAUGCUUUGUACUCUAAUAUGUUUUCUAAAGAAAGUGAAA